AUUGAACGCUGGCGGCAGGCCUAACACAUGCAAGUCGGACGGUAGCACAGAGGAGCUUGCUCCUCGGGUGACGAGUGGCGGACGGGUGAGUAAUGUCUGGGGAUCUGCCCGAUAGAGGGGGAUAACCACUGGAAACGGUGGCUAAUACCGCAUAACGUCGCAAGACCAAAGAGGGGGACCUUCGGGCCUAUCACUAUCGGAUGAACCCAGAGGGGAUUAGCUAGUAGGCGGGGUAACGGCCCACCUAGGCGACGAUCCCUAGCUGGUCUGAGAGGAUGACCAGCCACACUGGAACUGAGAAACGGUCCAGACUCCUACGGGAGGCAGCAGUGGGGAAUAUUGCACAAUGGGCGCAAGCCUGAUGCAGCCAUGCCGCGUGUAUGAAGAAGGCCUUCGGGUUGUAAAGUACUUUCAGCGGGGAGGAAGGCGAUGUGGUUAAUAACCGCAUUGAUUGACGUUACCCGCAGAAGAAGCACCGGCUAACUCCGUGCCAGCAGCCGCGGUAA
rnacentral:rRNA from 1 species